GCCUGGGUGGCUUAGUGGGUUAAGCCUCUGCCUUCAGCUCAGGUCAUGACCUCAGGGUCGUGGGAUCGAGUCCCACAUCGAGCU
rnacentral:tRNA from 1 species